UACAGAGGAGCCAAGCGUUGUCCGGAUUGACUGGGCGUAAAGCGCACGCAGGCGGAUGCGCGCGUGGGGUGUGAAAUCUGGCCGCUUAACGGCCAGGCGCCAUCCCAUACGGCGCGUCUGGAGUGAUGCAGAGGUCGAUGGGAUUGCCGGUGUAGUGGUGAAAUGCGUAGAGAUCGGCAGGAACACCCAGGGGGAAACCAGUCGACUGGGCAUCUACUGACGCUGAGGUGCGAGAGCGUGGGGAGCGAACCGG
rnacentral:rRNA from 1 species